rnacentral:rRNA from 1 species
GACGAACGCUGGCGGCGUGCUUAACACAUGCAAGUCGAGCGGAAAGGCCCUUUCGGGGGUACUCGAGCGGCGAACGGGUGAGUAACACGUGAGUAAUCUGCCCUUGGCUUUGGGAUAACCACCGGAAACGGUGGCUAAUACCGGAUAUGACGCGCCCCGGCAUCGGGGUGUGUGGAAAGUUUUUUCGGCCAGGGAUGUGCUCGCGGCCUAUCAGCUUGUUGGUGGGGUAAUGGCCUACCAAGGCUUCGACGGGUAGCCGGCCUGAGAGGGUGACCGGCCACACUGGGACUGCGGCACGGCCCAGACUCCUACGGGAGGCAGCAGUGGGGAAUAUUGGACAAUGGGCGGAAGCCUGAUCCAGCAACGCCGCGUGAGGGAUGACGGCCUUCGGGUUGUAAACCUCUUUCAGUACCGACGAAGCGCCGAUGAUGGUGGUGACGGUAGGUACAGAAGAAGCACCGGCCAACUACGUGCCAGCCGCCGCGGUAA